rnacentral:rRNA from 1 species
UACGAAGGGGACUAGCGUUGUUCGGAAUUACUGGGCGUAAAGCGCACGUAGGCGGGUUGUUAAGUCAGGGGUGAAAUCCCGGAGCUCAACUCCGGAACUGCCUUUGAUACUGGCAAUCUAGAGACUGGAAGAGGUUAGUGGAAUUCCCAGUGUAGAGGUGAAAUUCGUAGAUAUUGGGAAGAACACCAGUGGCGAAGGCGGCUAACUGGUCCAGUACUGACGCUGAGGUGCGAAAGCGUGGGGAGCAAACAGG